CUAGAGUAUUAAUAGUUAUAUUCUUUAAACUUAAAAAAUUUGGCGGUAUUUUAGUCUGUUCAGAGGAACCUGUUUUUUAAUCGAUAAUCCACGAUGGACCUUACUUAAUCUUAUUAAUUAGUUUGUAUACCGUCGUUAUAGAAAAUUUUAUAAGAAAAAUAAUUUUCAAUAAAUUUUAUUAAAUUUAAUAUCAGAUCAAGGUGCAGCAUAUGGUUAAGAAAAUAAUGGGUUACAAUAAAGUUAUUUAUAUGGAUGUAGAUAUGCAAAAUUUAUUGAAAGUGGAUUUGAAAGUAAAAUUAUAAAGAUUAAUAAUUUGAUUUUAGCUCUAAAAUAUGUACAUAUCGCCCGUCACUCUUAUUUAUUAAGAUAAGAUAAGUCGUAA
rnacentral:rRNA from 1 species